rnacentral:rRNA from 1 species
CGCUGGCGGCGUGCCUAAUACAUGCAAGUCGAGCGGAAUGAUGAAGAAGCUUGCUUCUUCUGAUUUUAGCGGCGGACGGGUGAGUAACACGUGGGCAACCUACCUUGUAGAUUGGGAUAACUCCGGGAAACCGGGGCUAAUACCGAAUAAUCCAUUUUGCUUCAUGGCGAGAUGUUGAAAGACGGUUUCGGCUGUCACUACAAGAUGGGCCCGCGGCGCAUUAGCUAGUUGGUAGGGUAAUGGCCUACCAAGGCGACGAUGCGUAGCCGACCUGAGAGGGUGAUCGGCCACACUGGGACUGAGACACGGCCCAGACUCCUACGGGAGGCAGCAGUAGGGAAUCUUCCACAAUGGACGAAAGUCUGAUGGAGCAACGCCGCGUGAGUGAAGAAGGUUUUCGGAUCGUAAAACUCUGUUGUAAGGGAAGAACACGCACGAGAGUAACUGCUCGUACCUUGACGGUACCUUAUUAGAAAGCCACGGCUAACUACGUG